rnacentral:rRNA from 1 species
UACGGGGGGGGCAAGCGUUGUUCGGAAUUACUGGGCGUAAAGCGCGCGUAGGCGGCUCUUCAAGUCGAGUGUGAAAGCUCCAGGCUUAACCUGGGAAUUGCGCUCGAUACUGUUGAGCUAGAGUGUGGAAGGGGCUACUGGAAUUCCGUGUGUAGCGGUGAAAUGCGAAGAUAUACGGAGGAACACCAGCGGCGAAGGCGGGUAGCUGGGCCAACACUGACGCUAAAGUGCGAAAGCUAGGGGAGCAAACGGG